rnacentral:rRNA from 1 species
CCUACGGGAGGCAGCAGUGAGGAAUAUUGGUCAAUGGACGGAAGUCUGAACCAGCCAUGCCGCGUGCAGGAUGACGGCUCUAUGAGUUGUAAACUGCUUUGUAUUAGGGUAAACACCCCUACGUGUAGGGGCUUGAAAGUAUAAUACGAAUAAGGAUCGGCUAACUCCGUGCCAGCAGCCGCGGUAAUACGGAGGAUCCAAGCGUUAUCCGGAUUUAUUGGGUUUAAAGGGUGCGCAGGCGGAGGUGCAAGUCAGCGGUCAAAUUGCGGGGCUCAACCCCGUACUGCCGUUGAAACUGCAUCCCUUGAGUGCGCGAGAAGUAUGCGGAAUGCGUGGUGUAGCGGUGAAAUGCAUAGAUAUCACGCAGAACUCCGAUUGCGAAGGCAGCAUACCGGCGCGCAACUGACGCUCAUGCACGAAAGCGUGGGUAUCGAACAGGAUUAGAUACCCGUGUAGUC